rnacentral:rRNA from 1 species
GAUGAACGCUGGCGGCGUGCCUAAUACAUGCAAGUCGAGCGAAUGGAUUAAGAGCUUGCUCUUAUGAAGUUAGCGGCGGGCGGGUGAGUAACACGUGGGUAACCUGCCCAUAAGACUGGGAUAACUCCGGGAAACCGGGGCUAAUACCGGAUAACAUUGUGAACCGCAUGGUUCGAAAUUGAAAGGCGCCUCCGGCUGUCACUUCUGGAUGGCCCCGCGUCGCAUUAGCUAGUUGGUGAGUUAACGGCCCACCAAGGCAACGAUGCGUAGCCCGCCGGAGAGGGUGAUCGGCCACCCUGGGACUGAGACACGGGCCAGACUCCUACGGGAGGCAGCAGGAGGGAAUCUUCCGCAAUGGACGAAAGUCUGACGGAGCAACGCCGCGUGAGUGAUGAAGGCUUUCGGGUCGUAAAACUCUGUUGUUAGGGAAGAACAAGUGCUAGUUGAAUAAGCUGACACCUUGACGGUACCUAACCAGAAAGCCACGGCUAACUACGUGCCAGCAGCCGCCGUAA